rnacentral:pre_miRNA from 1 species
UUUUUACUCUCUUCGUCCGAAAAGCUUGUCCCUCAAAUAGAUGUAUCUAGCUCCAAGUUAGUGCAACAUACAUCCAUUUGAUGGACAAGCUUGGGACAAGUUUUUUCGGACGGAGGAAGUACUAU